rnacentral:rRNA from 1 species
AACUAACGCUGGCGGCGUGCCUAACACAUGCAAGUCGUACGAGAAAGCCGGCUUCGGCUGGUGAGUAAAGUGGCGCACGGGUGAGUAACGCGUGGAUAAUCUGCCCUUAAGUGUGGAAUAACGUACCGAAAGGUGCGCUAAUACCGCAUAAUGCCUGGCAACACAAGUUGUCCGGCCAAAGAAGGCCUCUGUUUACAAGCUUUCGCUUCAGGAUGAGUCCGCGUACCAUUAGCUUGUUGGUGGGGUAAUGGCCUACCAAGGCUGCGAUGGUUAGCUGGUCUGAGAGGAUGAUCAGCCACACUGGAACUGAGACACGGUCCAGACUCCUACGGGGAGCAGCAGUGAGGAAUAUUGCGCAAGUGGGGGCAACCCUGACGCAGCAACGCCGCGUGAGUGAGGUAAGGUUUUCGGACUGUAAAGCUCUGUCGAGCGGGAAGAAGUGUACCAUGGCUAAUAUCCAUGAUUAUUUGACGGUACCGCUAGGAGG